rnacentral:lncRNA from 1 species
GUGUUACUACAUGCACCAAGGGGGUGCAAAACCCAUUCACAAAAAAAAUUAGCAUUUCAAAUAGCAUAUCAAUUAAGUUACAAAAUUCUUAAAGGAAUACAAGUCUUAUUUCAAAAUCAAAGCACCAAGGGAUUGGAACCAUCUCUCUCUAAUUCUAUCAAUGCCUUCUUCCACUCCCUAAAAACUCUUCUAUUCCUCUCUUUCCAGAUAACCCAGAAAAUAGCCAAAGAAAUGAGUCCCAAAACCUUCCUCCGCCUCACAAUAUCCUUCCAAGCCCAAAUCUCAUCCUUGAUCCUACCUGCCAACACUCUUUUUUUUUUUUUGAAAUAAUACCUGCCAACACCCAAUUAUAUCCCAAAAACCCAAAAGUCGUAGACAAUAAGUUGUAUGCAAUAGGACAUUGAAGAAUAAUGUGAUCACAAAGUCUCCUCUGCGCUCUAGAAUAGACAACACCAGUUCACAAAAGUCUUUCCCCUCUUCAGAGCUUGUCUAUAAUCAAAAUUCUAGGUGGUGCAUUUAUUCUCCAAAUCUGUUUAAACAGAAAAUGUUCUUCAACGUCCACUCUCUUUAGUUAGAUAAUUAUAGCAAGACCCCAUAGUGAAUGGACCCGUAGGGCUUAGAUUCCACAGGGGUUGAUCAAGAUCCUCAUUGAGAGACACAAAAGCUAAAACAUGUAACAAUAGUAUAUACUCUUCAAUCUUCCAAUCAUUUAAAUUGUGCAUCACUUCCACAUACCAUUUCGUCCUCCCCAACCCUCCAAUAUAAGCCUCUCUUACAGUCAAGUCUUGGUCACAAGCUAUAGCAAAAAUUUGUAGGAACCUCU